rnacentral:rRNA from 1 species
CAGAGCGAACGUUAGCGGCGGGCCUAACACAUGCAAGUCGAGCGAGAAAGUGGCUUCGGCCAUCAGUAAAGCGGCGGACGGGUGAGUAACACGUAGGUAAUCUUCCCUCGAGCGGGGGACAACGUUUCGAAAGGAACGCUAAUACCGCAUACGUUUCCAGGGACCCUGGUCCCUGGAAGGAAAGCUAGGUCGCAAGAUCCGGCACUCGAGGAGGAGCCUGCGUCGCAUCAGCUAGUUGGUGGGGUAACGGCCUACCAAGGCGAAGACGCGUAGCUGGUCUGAGAGGAUGAUCAGCCACACUGGGACUGAGACACGGCCCAGACUCCUACGGGAGGCAGCAGUGGGGAAUAUUGGACAAUGGGCGCAAGCCUGAUCCAGCCACGCCGCGUGAGUGAUGAAGGCCUUCGGGUCGUAAAGCUCUGUGGGGAGGGACGAACCGCUGCUGGUUAAUACCCAGCAGCAUGACGGUACCUCCUUAGCAAGCACCGGCUAACUUCGUGCCAGCAGCCGCGGUAA